CACUUAUUCAUUCGAAUAUUUAAAUAAUUUAGUUAUUUUUUUUCAAUUAAAAUUAAGCGUAUUGGCGUGUCUUUAUGCGAGAACUUUUAAAAAUCCUUUUAAAGCCGAAAUGUAUCAAUUAUCCUAUUGAUAUUACGUUUCAAAAGCAUUUUCAGAGACGUCAAAAAUGGCACUUGACACUUGUUGGAAUUCCGUUUAUAGAUUGCAUCAAACUAAUUGAUUAGCAGUCUAUUUAUACUCCUGCCAUAUCGAUAGGCCGUAUCGUUUCCUCAUUAAUUUGUUUUCCUCCGCUUCGUUAAAACCAUCUUUUUUUUUUAUCAAUUUUUCGUUUAAUUCCCGUUCGUGUCGAAUAUACAAACGCUACGGUACAAUAAAGAAAGUACAAAAAGAAUAUUACUUGGUAAGUAGAAAAUGCGAUAAUCAUUAGGCAACGCCUACAGUACCACGCAUUUAAUAACAAUCUUUUGAUGGCCUUUUCCUUCUGAAAACUAUUAAGAAGAAAAUCGAUGAAGAAUAUUAUUGCGUAAUAAACGGUCCUAACUGUGUUGCGUCCGAUUUUCCUACGUCUCGACUGUAUGCAACCGUUUCUACGUAAGGAAACCGGAUAGGUUUUAACGAAUAACGCGUUACCACGUUGGCAUUCUAAGCUGUUGCACCGCUCCAGCAACAUGAAGGGAAUGGAAUUUUUUUUGUUAUUUUUAGCAAAUUAGGGGAAAAUUUUCAUUAUUUUCUGAUGUCGAUCCAAACAGUCGAUAAUAAGCGACCGCUUUGAACUUGGAACCGGUUGUUAAAAAUGCUGGUGGACGGGCGAUUUCACGCACUUCUAGACGAAAUUCCUGAUAGCGUUAAACGUCGAAAAAACAGAAAAAGAUGCGAAAUCGAAGAAUUAAUUGAUAAUAUCCGUUUAAUAUAAAUAUGUAUAUAUAUACAUUAGUGUGAUUAUAUAUAAACGGUUUACGGUAUGUAUUCGGUGAACCGCAUUCGAUUCGGAGAAACUGAUUUCCAUUAACACUUCUGUUAAACAUAAUAUUCUCGUGUUAUCGUUAUAAUUAAUGAGAUGUUAUCGUACCUAUCGCAUUUGAUGAAGCCCAGCUUUUAUAUUUCGCUUAACGUGUGUGUCCGAAAGCCGCCAAUAUACGGAUUUAAUACGUUCGAAGAAUAAUGGCGAGUAGUAGUAGUUUUGAUUAGCAAUAAGUUAGCGAUACUUCACUUUUAUCGAUCGCUCUCUCGCUACGUUUUCGCGAUUUGCAGAACUUUGAUCCGGUUUAAGUUUGGUUGAUAAAUUAAAAUGCCACGUCGUAUCGCAAUCGCUAAAGCAGGAGGCGGGCGAACUUUUCUGACCGCGGACUUCUGUAAGGUCUCUAUCGGGCCGCAUAUUAAAAUAUUUUAUUUUCACUUUUUGAUACACGAGGUACUCAUAGUAGAGAAAAAUAUUGCGAUCAUGCCGGAAACCAGCGUUUUAUUUUCAACGAAUUUUCGCGCUCUCUAUCACAACUACUGCCUCAAAAUCCGUUGUCCCCAAUAGGUUACAUA
rnacentral:lncRNA from 1 species